CUGGUCACUUAUGUAAUAUCAUCAACUUAGUAGUUCUUGUUACCUAAUAUAUCCUAUAAUUCUGAAUAUUAUAAACACUGACUUCUAAAAAUGUUAUAUUUAUGAAUGGGAUUAUAAAGUAUAAUCAAACAAUCUAUUCAAUAUUAUAGUUGUGUAAAGGUACUAUGUUUUCCUUUAGAAUAAAAAUUUAUAGGAAAUUGCUACUUGACAUUUAUCACGGGUAAAUGGAAGGUCAAAAAAGAAGCACAUAAAAUGUGUCUUGUUAGUUUGUGUUUAGUGAGGAUAAAUUCCAUUUCAAGAGUAAAUUAAAAUUCAUAGUUUUGUUAUUAGACUUUUAUUCUAAUGCAACUCCUCCAAAUUUGGAUUUUGUACUGGAGGGCUGACUGUUAAGUAUUUUGAAGCUUCCUUGACAGGAGCAAAUUCAGCAUAGAUUGAUCUCUUUGCAAAAGGCCCUGCAACCAAUAUGAUUAUCUCAAAGUUGUAUUUUCUUGAACAUACCAGACAGGAGUAAGCCUCAACGGGUCACAGAUUAACUGAGAAGUAGAAAAUUUAUGAGCUCAGAAUUAUUUGACACAUUGGAUCGCCAUAUAAUUAUGAAACCUAAACUUUUUGUUAUUAACAGAAAUUUAGAUACAGGUUUUCCCCUAAUAAACUGUCUGUUGUCCUUGUAUGUCAAGAAAGCUGCUGACCUCUGGUGCCCCUACUUCAAGCCCUUAAUCAGCCACCCUUAGAUCAGUAUUCCUUCAGAUUUGGUCAUUUGGGCUUGAAUUAGUCACUUCGUGCUGCUAAAACAAAAACACCAUAGACUGGGUGGCUUAAAUAAUAGAAAUUGUGUUUCCACAAUUUUGGUGGCUAAGUCCAAGAUCAACCAAUAAGUUCAGUUCUUAAUUUCUGGAGGGACACCUUCUUAACAAUAUAUGUAUCCUACACAGUGGAGAGGGAGAGAUGGAGAGUGAGUUCUCCUUUGUCUUUUACUGGAAGGGCACUAAUCUCAUUCAUUAGGGCUGUACCCUCAUGAAUUCCCUCCUAAUUUCCAAAUAUCUUUGCAUUGGGGAUUAGCAUAUGCAUUUUGUGGGGACAUAAACUUUCUGUCCAUAGCAGGUUGCUGUCCCCUUCCUGUGGGGACACCAACUCUACUAUUCAAUUAGGCUCCCUCGCUUCCUUACCCUCUGCUCUCAGUUUCAGUCACUUUCAGCCAAGGGUUUUCUCAUGUGCCUUGGGCUGAGGAUCUUGUUGGCUGAAAUGUUCAUCAUGUUCAUGUCUUUGGCUCAAGCGUGCUCACCAUCACUUUCUUCUAUUAGAGGCCUGGGCAGCACAAUUGGGAGCCAAAUGUGAGUUUUCUACAUGAAACCAGGAGCUAUUAAAUAAAAAAUAUGUAAUUGUUUUCAUACGUAGAGUGCUAUUUUUGGAGUUAGUAAGUAGAACUUAUUGAAUUCAUUUAAUGAAAGUUUUUUACACUGUGCAUACUGUAUUAAAGCAUCCAGAAUAAGAAAUAUAAUAAAUCAGAGGCUGACAGAACACAUACAAAAAAGAGAUGAGUUAUAAGUCCCUCAGGUCUUUCAAGCCUUUGGUAUUUUCCAAAGUCUAGUUCAUCAAUGGGCUAGAUCUUGUGUGUGUGCGUGUGUGUGUGUGUGUGUGUGUGUAAAGUCUGGAAGUAAAACUCCAAAUGAUCAAUGUUUAUCUGAAUUGCAGAGGAAGGGUGAGAAGGGAAAGAAGUAUAAAAUACCACAUUUGCUUUUUAACCAAUAUACUUUUAUAUAGUUGGAUUUAAAAACCAAGAAUGUAUUUGCACAUUGCGUGUUAAACUUAACAAUAUACAUAUAGAAUAUAGUGAUAUUCUGUGCAGAAUAAGUGAUCUGGGCAGAUUAUCUUAUGAUAAAUUUUUAAUUUUAAUUUUACGCUGAUUAAUUUGUAUUUAAAUAGAACUGUUCUUUACAAACCCUGUGUUUAAACAAUUGUAAUUUGGGGAAUAAAUUCAAAAUGUAUCAAUAUAGAUAAUUGAACGUUCAAAGCUGGCUGGCUUUUCAUGCUGGCUAUCAGGGUUUAGCUGAGUGCUGUUUUGGAGACAAGAUGUAUUCAUCUGACUUCCAUUCAAGUCCUGUCUGGUCACGUGGAACACACAAAGAAGUUCUCUGAAUCUUUAGUUUCCAUAAUGAGGUGGGAUGGGACUUAAUGCUGGUUUUUGUGUGUGUUUUAAUUUAAAAAAAGAGAAAUGGGUAUAAAUAUCAUUUGUUGCAGGUGCUUUCAAUGCCCUACCUAUAUCUUCCUGGCCCUUACCAUUUGCAUCAGUUACAGUUCUCUAGAGAAUAUACAUAUGUAUAUAUGUAUACAUAUAUGUAUAUUUAUAUAUUAUGAAUAUAUACAAUUUAUUAUAUACUUUAUGUUAUCAAAAUAAUUAUAUAUUAUAUGUACAUAUGUAUAUGUGUAUACAUAUAUAUUCGUAUUUAUAUAUUUAUAUAUUAUGAAUAUAUACAAUUUAUUAUAUACUUUAUAUUAUCAAAAUAAUUAUAUAUUAUAUUCACAGAUAAUAUGUGGUAUAGUAUAUAAUAUAUAUUUUCAGGAUAUAUCUAUAUAUAUAUCUAUGUAUCUGUAGUUCUAGAUCUAGGUAGGAGAGAGACAGAAGUUGAUUGAUUUGAAGAAAUUGUCUCAUGCAGUUGUGAGGCAUCUAAAAUCCACAGGGCAGGCUGGCAGGUUGGAAACUCAGGUAGGAUUUGACACUUCAGUCUUGAGGCAAAAUUUCUUCUCUGGGGAGCCUCAGUUUUGGCUUCAGCUUAAGGCCUUCAACUGGUUGGAUGAGGCCCAACUACAUUUUCGAGAGUAAUCUCUUAAAGUCAGCUGAUUGUAGACUUUAGCCACAUGAACAAAUUACCUUCAUAGCAUCUAAAUUAGUGCUUGGUGAAAAUACUGGAUACUCUAAUCUAGAAAAAUGGACACCUAACACCAUCACAGCGUUUCAAUGUCCAACUGUAAGUGUGUGCAAAUCUUUUCUAAGUGCUUCUUAUGACCUAUAGACUGCUCUGUGUAUGUGGUUAGAGUUUUGGAGAAUCAGCACUCCAAGAAAUCCCUCUCAUUCUAUGGCUGAUGGGAGUUGAUGUAUAAUCAAUUUAUCCACGGAGAAUACGUUCCAACAAGACUCCUAGUGGAUGCCUGGAACUGUGAAUAGUACUGAACCUUAAUAUAUACCAUAUAUAUUUUUAUCCAUACAUACCUAUGAUCAAGUUUAAUUUAUAAAUAGGCACAGCCUGAGAUUAAUAAUAACUAAUAAUAAAAUAGAACAAUUAUAAUGUAUUGUAAUAAAAGUUAUAUGAAUGUAAUCUCUCGCUGUCUCAAAUUAUCUUAUACUGUACUCACCCUUCUUGUGUUGAUGUGAGGAUGACAAUACGCCCACGUGAAGAGAUGAAGAGAAGUGAAUGACACGGGCACUGAGAGGUAGCAUUAGGCUGCUAUUGACCUUCUGACUGUACCUCAGAAGGAGGAGCGCCUGCUGCUGGGCCAUGGUUGACCACGUGUAACUGAAACCACGCUUGAGCUAUGAAGCCCAGGAAGAAGAAGGUGGCAGAUCAGAAAAAGUAGAAGACUUCCCGGCUUCUGCUUCUAAAAGACUAAGUGCACUAAAAACCAAACAAACAAAACUCUCCCAAACAGGGAUGGGCUAAAAUGGAAUAAGACGGAGUGCUUCCUCAGAAGCAGGAGAGAGAGAAAGAGUGCAGACCUCAUUCCAGGAAAUAACUUGCUGAGGCUGUGGGGAGGGCAGAGAUCUGUCAUCCAUCUAUGAUCACCUGAACUUUUUUAAAGCACUGACCAAAUGUUGGAAACUGGCAAAUACUGAUAAAAUAGAGAUCUAUCAUUCUGCUUUCUGUACCUGGAGACUGACCUGCAUAGACUACAUCAUCAAGACUGCCCUCUGACUUCUGGCUGCAUAAGGACAUUAGGAAGACUUGGCAGAAAUUAGAAGGAAAGAAGAGUGUCAGAUCUGAGUGUUAAUUCCCUGGCUUCAUCAAAGGACACUGGUCUUCAUGAGAAGGCAGACUCUCCAUGAUUCUCCUUUUGGGUUCCAAUAAAUACUCCCCUCUUCUAUCUGUUAGGCUUAGGGGUUAUAAGAACUCAGCAGCUAAGAUUUCCAAGUUCUUUGUGGCUCCUCCAUAUUCAUAUCUUUGAUGAUAGGCCCUUUGUAAAUAAAUUCUUCUUGAAUUUCCCUAGGGUGAGUGGGUUACCAUUUCUCUUGGAACCCUGGCUGAUACAUCAUGGAAUCUUCAAAAAAAUCCUAUCAAAAAUAUACCAUUAUUGCCCCAUUUUAAAAAUGAAGACAGUAGAUGGGCUUCAGGAGUUUGCUGAAAAUCACUCCUCUUGUGCCUGUCAGGAUACUACAUUACAUUUCAUUGUCAUGACUCAGACUUUUUUUUGUUCUUGAAGACCUUGACUGUUUGGAGUGGUAUUGGUCAGGUGUUUUGUAGGAUGUUGCUCUUUUGGGAUUUGUCUGAUGUUUUUCUCAUGAUUAUACUGGGGUUGUGGGUAUUUUCAUCACAUUGCGUCAAUGCCACAUACUAUCAACCUGACUUAUCACGUUGUUAUUGACCCUGAUCAUUGUUGCUGAGGUAAUGUUUGUCAGGUUUCUUCACUGUAAAGUUUUCUUCCUUUCUAUACUGUUGAAGAAAGUCACCAUGCUCAACUCAUACUUAGGGAAUGGGGAGUUAUAGUCUACCUUCCUGAAGCAAAGUAUCUACAUAAGUUAUAUGGAAUUCUUCCACAUUAUUUGUCUCUUAUUCCCCAUUAAUUCAAUCCUUUAUUGUUAUCAGUGUGGAUUCCUGGAUAUUUAUUUUAUACUUUGGGUGAUAAUCCAAUACUACUGUAUUUUAUCACUCAUAUUGUUCCAGCUUUGACCAUUCAGAGCUCUUUUGAUUAGCUCUUGGAUCUCUUUGACAUAUCCCCAUCAUUGUGGUUUGAUUUUUUUCCCCCAGAAUUCCCAUACUUUCUGGAAAUUUAUGAUGCUCUAAGCUCAUUUUAUAUAUUUCCUGUUUCAAUCUUAGAAUCAACCAUUUCUCCAAGGAGCCCUGUUUCCUUUCAUUGGAAAUGGUAUUAGAAACCAAGAUUUGAGCACAGGGUAUACUCAAUGAGAGUAAGGAAUGGAAGAAGGAAUGGCAAAUGUUUCCCAAAUAAGGGCCCCAUGCCCCCAAAAAACCCAAAAUGAUUUGUGGUGCCUCGAAGGUGCUGUCCACUGGAUGACAUGGAGAAGGUGUUUAUACCUUUACACCUUUAUACCUUCUUACCUUUACUUUCUUGUAAUCUUUAUGUUCAAAGAGAAAAUUUUCAUUUGAUCCUGGCAACAUCAGAUUUGGGAAUUUACUUUUCUAACAAAGUGAGUAGACCUCAGACAUUGAACUUCAAGCAAGCAAAAACAUCUAACUAGAAUAUAACAAUAUUAUUUUGUCUUGCUUGUGUUCAUUUAUAUUAUCAUCUUCAAUUUAUGGAAAAAUUCAACUAGUCCAUUUCUAAUAGCAGUGUAUAUUUUUUUCUCUUAAAAGAUGCUAAGUAAAAAAUGUAAAUAAAUUUAUAGAAAAAAGUAGCAUGUCAGUGGUUGAUAUAAUGUGGAGGAAAUGGAGAGUAAAUAAUUUGAGUUUGGAAACAAUUUAGAAGGAAUAAUCUUGAGAAUCUCUUACAGCUCUAGAAUUUGGUAUCUGUGUCAGCCAGCAUUUGUGAUCUCACACCCAUAGCCAUGUGCAAUUUGUGAGAGAGGGAAUGUUUUGAAUCUGAAUCACAGAAGGAAAGAGAGGACACUGUUGAGAACAUUGAAAUGCAUACAGUCAUUUUCUUGCAGUUGUUCUUAGCCCUGGAUCUAUCAGCCCUAACAACCAGGCGCUGGCAGAGGGUCAGGUGAGAAAUGCUGGGUAGUACUUCAAGGGAGCUGAGACCUUGAGAUCAGAGAACUACAAACCAACGGGAAAGUUGAUUCUAAUAGCAUCAAUGGAUAUCCUCAAAAUGCUCAUGAAAAAUGAAAAUAUAAAGCAAAUAAUUGUGACAAGCAUAUUGUCUAAUUAAGAUGAAUGGGACAUGCUUCUUAUGCAUUUUAAUCUGUUAAAUAAACAGCAUAUUAAUAAGGCUUAAUUAUAGCACCACAUACUUAAAGUGACUUUCUAAAAUAAAGUUUGUUUUGAUUUAACAUAUGCUUUUUUGUGUGUUUUCUCAGCACUUUUACAAGCCUCAUACACAAAUAACAUCUUGAAAUAAAUCUCUUGGAUGUGAUCACCAUCUUGAUCAAAAUUUCUUUCUUUGAACUUCUUGGAUAAUUCAGGACUGAUAAAGUAACUUCCUACUUUUAAGAUAAGCAUCCUUUCAGUGCUUACGUGUAAGCAUUGCAGAAAUGACCCUUUCUUCUUUGAUCAUGUUUUUCCAUGCUUCCAUUCUUUCAUUCCCAUUCCACAUUUAGGUGGUCAGCAUAUGCCGUUGACAUGUUAUGUCAGAAAUAGCUCCUCAAUCUGCCUCCCACCCUUUACAUAUUUGGAGGUUGGCCACAGAUGCUUUGGCUGUCUCCCCCUCAAGAGGUAGGGUGAAUUUCCUCUCUUUGAAUCUGGGCUAGCUGCUAUCUCUUUUGACCAAAGGAGUGUAAUGGACGCAUGGUCUUCAUAAAACCAGCAGCUUUUGCCUCAGCCUCUUGGAGCCCUGAGACAUCAAUAAAAGAAACCACAUGGUGAAGCUCUGAGGUUGCCGAGAGAGGGACAGAAGCCCAGCUGAGCCUAACCUUGUAACCAUUCCCAGCUAUGUGAUUCCUGGCAAGUGAAUAAGCCACUUGGAUAUUCCAAACUAGCCCUGUCUGACUACUUGAGAUUCAUGAGUAUAAUAAGUGAUUGUUGCUAUUUGGAGGCACUAUUUCUAGAGAUAUGUUAUGUGGUAGAGAACUAGGGUGAUAAUUAUUUUUUCAAACAUUGUUUGUCUCCCCCUGCCUUUCCCUGAGAAUCAUA